rnacentral:lncRNA from 1 species
CGAUCCGCCGUCUCCAGGCGUUGAGGGAGGUGUCGCCCAGGCAGAACAGGAGGUCGAGCAAAUAAAACUAUUUUGGUUCGUAACCAGAGUAUACUAAUAAAUCUAUUUUUACGUGGAAAAAAUUGCAAAGUUGGUUAGUAGCCGGAUAAGGACGUACGAAAAGAUAGUCAUGCAUUCAAAUUUUCUCGGAUAAGCUAUGCCGAUGAGUACGCCGUGGAUAACCACCAAUUAAUCUAAUAAAUAUAAUUAAUAAUGAAACGGGUCGGGUGGAAGCUAGCCUAACUCGUUAAGAUUCUGUAGCAAUCAAAGAGAAAAAAACAAACCAAACCCGAAUCUAAUGACAGAAGAUCGACGGUGGAUUCUUAGGUGGUAGUUACCACUAGGUGGUAGAAGGGAUUUUCCCUAUAUAUAUAUAUAUAUAUAUAUAUAUAUAUAUAUAUAUAUAUAUAUAUAUAUGUGUGUGUGUGUGUGUGUGCGUGCGUGAGUGCGUGCGUGCGUGUGUGUGUGUGUGUGUGUGUGUGUGUGAAGUAAUGAAUUUUCAUAUGAUGGUACCCUUGUAUUGACCUUCAGGCACACAUAGCAUAAUAUGAUAGUUUGGCAAGGCACACAUAGCACACAAACGUUCACAAAUCAAUCACAACCUGUUCAUAAAAAAUAGUAGCUAAUUUAGGUUUCCUGCAACACUACUGAAAGGAAUACUUGUAGCAUAGAUUCUUUUUUUCAGUAAUAGCAUCAAGCUUGUUCUUCUCAAGUUCUCAUAUCCAGAAAUCACACGAGAUGUACCUCUUAGACUGCAUUGCUGGCUACCCCAUUAGCAGAUAGAGCCCCUGUUUUUGAUGCUCUACUUGUUGCUUGAGCUCGAGCUCACAUCCAAAACGAUGCUUGCUGGAUAGAAGUACUAUUCCAAGUCAUGGUUGAUCUGAACGGAAAAGGGAAAAGCAAAUAAAUCAACUAACGGUAGCACCGAUUGGGAAUGGGUGGAGAGGGAGAGGAGAGUGAAAAGAACACACACCACCGGUGGGAGGGGAAUCACCAGCAGUCAACGACCAGAUCCUUCUUCGAACGAACCGGCGAGCGCAGAUCGGAGGAAGCCCAUGGCAUGGUGGCGGUGGUGGCGGCCCCUGGGUGACGACUGACGAGCGAGGGCGCGAGUGAUCUCUCUCGCAGGUGACCCACCU